GCGUUGGUAGUUCAACGCUUGAGCAGGCGCUCCCGGAUAGAGUGAAAUGUGGGUUCGAAUCCCACCUGACGCA